GACGAACGCUGGCGGCGUGCUUAACACAUGCAAGUCGAACGGUGAAGCGCCUUCCUUUUUGGUGGGUGUGGAUGAGUGGCGAACGGGUGAGUAACACGUGAGUAACCUGCCCCCUUCUUCUGGAUAACCGCAUGAAAGUGUGGCUAAUACGGGAUAUUCUGGGUCUGUCGCAUGAUGGGUCUGGGAAAGAUAUUGUUUCGGUGGGGGAUGGGCUCGCGGCCUAUCAGCUUGUUGGUGGGGUGAUGGCCCACCAAGGCGGUGACGGGUAGCCGGCCUGAGAGGGUGGACGGUCACACGGGGACUGAGACACGGCCCAGACUCCUACGGGAGGCAGCAGGGGGGAAUAUUGCACAAUGGGCGCAAGCCUGAUGCAGCGACGCCGCGUGAGGGAUGGAGGCCUUCGGGUUGUGAACCUCUUUCGCCAGUGAAGCAGGCCUGCCUCGUUUGUGGGUGGGUUGACGGUAGCUGGAGAAGAAGCGCCGGCUAACUACGUG
rnacentral:rRNA from 1 species